GCAAGGAGGUAAAUUCCCAGUUCUUCCACAAGCUCCUGAAUUGACAAAAGAAACAGAAGCCAGUGGAAAUAAUAUGAAGAAAUGGAACAGAUUUCACUUGAAGUCAUGUUAUGCUGUCUGCUAUACCUUGGAAACAGGCAAGGGUACCUUCCAUCCCUGAGCUUGAUCCUCGGAGAUGUGAGAGGAGGGCCACCUGGGGAGCCACACAGUUUUGCGGCAGGAGGCCGGAGAAUCGCCUGGAAUGCCCAGCCGAGGAGCACAAUUGGCAGAACAAAGACUAAUUUAGGAGCCAUUUUCUCCAGAUCUGGUGCUUUCAGGUGAGAGACAAAUGUGAAGAUAGCUUCGAGUGGCAAGGCACACUUGCAAUGUCGGUUGUGCUUUAUUCCAUUGGUGGCCUUUCUGCAACAGAUGGGCCCCAUCAGGGAAUAAGGCCAUCAUUGCUUUUAUUUUUCUUUUUUGUUUUGCAUCUUCUGUUUUAGCUUGUUGCUGUAGAUAUAUAUAGUAUGACUAUUUUAUCAUCCUCAUGGUCUACUUCGAUCCAGAUCCACUUUCAUAUUUUGAAAUGUGAAUUUGAAUAGUCACUGUGGUGAAGAGGCACGGAUCUAGCCUGGGACAA